CGAUGGGGCCUCUGCAAUGGUUGCUGUGUGAACCCCGCCAGGCCCGGAAGGGAGCAACGGUAACAUUUGCGAUUAUGUGCCGGAGUCACCCUGUCGAGC
rnacentral:SRP_RNA from 1 species